UAUUUGCUCUGUUUUAUUUUGUGAAACCUUACUACGUAUAUGGAAUAACUGUUUUAUAAAAGCAAUGCGCCCUGUGAAGCCGUGGGCUACAGUGAAUUUGUAACAGCUUCACGUCGUACCUAACAAUGCCCUUUAGCUGUUAUAAACUCACGGUAAACCACGGCUUCACAGGGCUUGUGGCUUGAUUAGAUAUUAGGGUAACUGGCUCAGAUUGAUUGGGUUUGAUCAUGUAAACACACCUCGUGUGUGAGCGUCAGAUUCUGAUGUGUGUGUGUGUGUGAAUCAGGACGAGGCCAAUAAGAACGGAGGGAAGUGGAUCAUCCGGCUGAGGAAGGGUCUGGCGUCUCGUUUCUGGGAGAACAUCAUCCUGGCCAUGCUGGGUGAGCAGUUCAUGGUGGGCGAGGAGAUCUGCGGGGUCGUGGUGUCCAUCCGCUUCCAGGAGGAUAUUCUGUCCAUCUGGAAUAAAACAG